AUUGAACGCUGGCGGCAGGCCUAACACAUGCAAGUCGAACGAGUGGCGGACGGGUGUGUAAUGUCUGGGAAACUGCCUGAUGGAGGGGGUUAACUACUGGAAACGGUAGUUAAUACCGCAUACUAUCGGGUGUGCCCAGAUGGGAUUAGCUAGUGGGUGGGGUAAAGGCUCACCUAGGCGGCGAUCCCUAGCUGGUCUGAGGGGAUGACCGGCCAAACGGGAACGAGAAAACGGUCAGACCCCCUCCGGAGGGCAGAAGGGGGAAACAUUGCACAUGGGGGGCAGGCCGAAUGAGGCAAUGCCGCGUGGAGAAGGAAGGCCUUCGGGUUGUAAGGUACGUUAAGCGGGGAGACGUUACCCGCAGAGGAAGCAACGGCUAACUACGUGCCAGCAGCCGCGGUAAUAC
rnacentral:rRNA from 1 species